CAAAAAUACAUUUUUUCAGAUUGCAAAGGUGAGGCUGUUGAACAGUAGAGUGGACAUGUUACUGCCCUUGAAGGAGGACUGGUAACACUCAGCUGUAACUACACUACAAGCAGUAGUACAUCUCCUGAUCUCUUCUGGUACAUCCAGUUAACUAGGAACUCUCCUCAGUAUGUCCUGAGAAGAGAUCGUUAUUCAGAAGGGAGCAAUAGUGAUGAGUUCCAGGGGGGGUUUGAUUCCAGGCUGAAUUUCACAUCUAGCUCUGUAGAGUGUUUGCCUCAGGAUUCUCAAUGUUUGACAAUGCCCACAACGAGGAGGAGAGAAGGAUUUCAUGGUGUCAUCAUGGCCUAGCUACAUCAGAGUGGUUUUACUCUUCUCCUGUUGGUCUCACAGUUAGCAGACAUGGGACUCUGGCUGAGUAAUUUACUGAUUCUUGCUGCAUGUUGUUAUGAAUGCAGAGGAGAAGACACAGUCAUUCAGCCACCAGGAGAUGUGAUCGCUACUGAGGGAGAACAGGUCACACUGGACUGUCAAUUUGAUGCAGUUAAUAUAAAGAAUGUCUACCUGUUCUGGUACAAGCAUGAAUUAAAUGGAUUCCCAGAGUUCAUGCUGGGACGUUUUUCUUUUGGAAGUAAAAAUGCCACUGAGUUCAAGGAUAGAUUUGAUGCCCAUCUCGAUGCAGACUCCAAGUCAGUCCCCUUGACGAUCCAGAGGGUGCAGCUGUCUGACUCUGCUGUGUACUACUGUGCUCUGAGGCCCACUGUGAUAACAGGAUAUACAGCCUCAUUACAAAAACUAUUUGAUAGUGUGAUGUAAGACUCUUAGAGAGCCUAGUGGAAGCCC